UACAGGGAUUCUCUGCAGAUGGCUUCAGAAUGGCACCCUGUUCCACAAGCUGUCCUUUGUUGCCAUGGUUACUUGCUAAGAUAAGUCUGGCGGGGCCCUGUUUCAGAUUCAGUUCACCCAGAAUAACACCUGUUGACAAACCAAACAGCUAGAAAGGUACGACACUGAAUGGAACUGUUGAUUUCUGGGGUUUUAUGCAUGGUCUCGGCUGAUCUUAUUAGAGCUGCAGAAAGAACAUAGAGGGUAGGACUGCAAGCUAGUCGGCUGGUGGCUGCAUCACCAACAAAGUUUCACAGAGGGAAAGUCCUUACAUGGGUGGUCUUUCGGGGGGCAUGACAGUGGCAGAGUAGCAAGUGGCAAGUGCUUAUAUAUACAACAAGGGCAACAAAUUCAGUAGCCUCCAGUUAUUUCAGGACUCCCACUCCCAUCAGCCCCAGCCAGCAUAGCCAACGGGCAGGGAUGAUGGGACUUGUAGUCCAAUAACCUUUGGAAGGUACCACAUUGGUUACCCAGGAUGAUGAUGGAGGGUGAUCUUCACUCAAAGGUUCCAGGGUAGGCUAUGGCAGUUAAACAAAAUAUUCAAAGCUGUUUAAAAUAAAUCACAACCAUAGAAAGCGAGUCUUAAAAAUGUAAAUUUCAGAUGUCAACAAUAAGCAAGCAGGAUUGGGGUGGAUACGGAAAUCUGGCCUACAAACCCAAGAAGUUUCAUUCUUGCAACAGACCUCCUCUGCACGUUUACCAUGCAAGUCUGGAAAAGGAACCGUCAACGAGAAGUUCAGUGCAGAUUCAUGCAAAAAACAGAAAUGUGGAAAAUGAUGGUUCACGCAACCUUCAUGGGUACAGCCCCUGGUCUAAAGGAAGCAAACUGAGCUCCAGGCCUGAUACAGCUUCAGCCAAAUCCUUGUCUGUUAAACACAGAGGAUGUGCAAAGCUUGCUGCCAGCUCUUCUGCUGCUAGUCACAUUCUUUGACCUCGCUUGCCCUUCCUCAUUUCAGAGGACGUGAUCUCAAUUAAGGUUCUCUGGUAUGCAUAUUCAAAUCACAGAAACCACAUUUCAGGGCAAUGUCUUGGUGAGGAGGCUCAGGAUUUUAGAUCCAGAAUUUAAAUGCAUGUUUUAUCCCUACCCACCCACUCAACAUUCCUGCUUAGCACUCAGAGUGGGCCAGUCUAGACUGGGAGCCAUGUGCUCAGAUGUGGCAAGCUGCACAGUUAAAGAGGGCUGAAGAUUCCCUUACUUGACUUUGUCCUUAGGGCUUUGAAAAUGCUAUGAUAACCCUUUCUCAUAGAUUAUUGUAAUGCACUCUUAUGUGGGGCUGCCCUUGAAGAUGGUUUGGAAACUGCAACUGGUACAGAAGGCUGCAGGUAGAUCACAUCACAUGUAUUCUUUGCCAGUUACAUCAUCUGCCUACUUGUUUCUGGGCUCAAUUCUAAGGUUUUGGGUCUGGCCUUUAAAGUUGUAAAUCAGGGACAGAUGGAUGCCCUGAUUUGUUUGUGGAUUACUACUCAUGGUUUGUGAGAUACAAACCAUGAGUGCUGGUUGGCACAUCAUGCUCAACCAAGUCUUGGGAUUUCAGUCUCCUGGCUCAACCACAUUCACAGUAAACCAUGGUUUAUUGGCAUCACUAGCUGUGAUUUACUAUGUGAUGUGUGAACAAGCCCAUAGUCGGGGGGUAACCAUACAUCUUCCAUAAAGGGUACAUCCACAUUGGAGCCCUUGAAUGAAGCACAACUUUCCAGAAAUAGGGCUGCUUCAGGCAUCCUUUUUAUUGCGCAUUCAUGAUUAUUCAUACUUGUGACGCUACCAUAUCAGUCGUACUUAAACCUGUUUUCAAUACUAUUUGCCCAUGCAAAAGUUUUGGGGCAGACACACCACAUCAUAUCCAAUCAGUGCAUAUCCUGUAACUUCCUUCUGAAAUCCCGUAACUUUUUAUAGCUUUUUUUCUGGGGGGACGCAGGGGUACACAUACCCCUGAACAUUUUGUCAAUCUAAAUUUGGCCUCAUUGAGGGGCAGCAUUUUAAUAUGAGUAUGAAAAUGAGAGUACCCCUAAACAUUUUUAAAGAAAAAAACACACUGGCUUUUUAUAACACAGACAUUCCAGUUGUCUCCUCACAAGUAAGUUCCAUUCAGCAGAGAUCCUUUUUUAAUGCUAACUGAAAUUCCUGUUCAAAGUUUUAGUGGAUUUUAUUUCUUCCUGUUGACCCUAGUGGGGCAAUUAGUAAUGAAUAUGAAUAGCCGCUCUAAAAUUACCCCAAUGCCAGUUUUCUUUGUAUUGGGAGGCAGCUUUAACUGCAGAUUUCCUCUUAUUUAUUUCCCCCCCUUUUUCCCCCUUUUAAUGAUACAACAGCUCUGAUGACUAACUUUUGCAAGAUUGUAUCCUAAUUUGCUGCUCCGUUCAGUUCUGGGGAACUGAACCUAGAAGAUGGGGCUAUAUAAGAGGACUGUGAUGAGGGCAGACAGAUUCACACUUCUUCCAUCCUCCUUCCCCUGACUAAGUCAGUAUCACAUGGAGAGACCCAGAGCAGCAGGAAAUGGCUCAUCUUCAGUUAACAGUAACUCAAGAGGGAUUUGGAAGGUAAUGAUUCCUCUGCUCCAUACUAGUAGCCUAGUGGCGAAUUCUGAAGUGCAAGGUCCCUUCGUGAUAGCUACAGCCAUGCUGCUUAUCCUUUUAGAUUUGUCAGUGCCUUUGACAUGGUCGAUCAUGAUCUUCUGGACCACCGCCUCACAGACGUGGGGAUACAGGGCAUAGCCCGUAACUGGCUGUGCUCUUUUAUCUCUGGUCGGGGACAGAGGGUGGCACUAGGGAGGGAAAUGUCGUCGCGCCAUUCCUUGGUGUGUGGAGUGCCGCAGGGAGCAAUUCUCUCCCCGAUGCUUUUUAACAUCUUUAUGCGCCCCUUUGCCCAGAUUAUCCGGAGCUUUGGGCUGGGCUGUCACCAAUAUGCUGAUGACACUCAGCUCUAUCUGCUGAUGGAUGGCCACACCGACUCGGCCCCGAACACACUGACCAGAUGCUUGGAAGCUGUGGCUAGAUGGUUUCGUGGGAGCCGAUUGAAACUAAAUCCUUCAAAGACAGAGGUCCUAUGGCUGGGUCGGGAUGGCAUGGGGAUGAGGGACCAACUCCCUUCUCUUGCGGGGCCCAAUUAGUGCCAUUGCCUUCCGUUAAGAGUUUGGGUGUAAUCCUUGACGCCUCCCUUUCCAUGGAGGCGCAAGUUACAGCAACAGCCAAGGCGACAUUUUUCCACCUUCGCCGCAUCAAGCAGUUGGUCCCUUACCUUUCCCGCCCCGACCUGGCCACAGUGAUCCAUGCGGUGGUCAUCUCCAGGCUUGACUACUGUAAUUCGCUCUACGUGUGGCUGCCCUUGAAGCUGUCCCAGAAACUCCAGCGGGUGCAGAAUGCUGCAGCGAGGCUCCUCACGGGGUCUCUGCCAUGGGAGCAUAUUCACCCAGUGCUUUUCAAACUGCACUGGCUCCCGGUAGAGUACAGGGUCAGAUUUAAGGUGCUGCUUUUGACCUUUAAAGCCCUUCACUGCCUUGGACCCUUGGACCUACGAGACCGCCUCUCCCGGUAUGCCCCACGGAGAGCCUCAAGGUCCAUAAAUAGCAACACCCUAGUGGUCCCGGGCCCUAAGGAAGUUAGAUUGGCUUCAACCAGACCAGGGCCUUUUCAACUCUGGCUCCGGCCUGGUGGAACGCUCUGCCUCAUGAGACCAGGGCCCUGCAGGAUCCGAUUUCUUUCCGCAGGGCCUGUAAGACAGAGUUGUUCCGCCUGGCCUUUGGCUUGGAGCCAAUUUGAUUCCCUCCCUCUCUUUCUUUCUUUCCUUCUCCUCCUGCAUUGAGGCUACAUUUUAUUUUAAUGUUGUAAUAUUUUAAUGUUGUAUUUUAAUUUUGUUUUUAAGUUGUAAUCAUUCAGCUUGCUUUUAUUAUUGCUUGUAAGCCGCUCUGAGCCCGGCCUUGGCUGGGGAGGGUGGGGUAUAAAUAAAUUAUUAUUAUUAUUAUUAUUAUUAUUAUUAUUAUUAUUAUUAUUGGAUUGUACAACAGCCAACAAUUGUGCAAUAUUAUUAUAAUUUUACAAUAAUAAUAAUAAUUAGGGAUGCACUUCAACGAUUGAUGCAGAUCUCCAUGUGUUGUCUUUCAGCUAGGUGUACUAUUUUCUGUGCACGAUACAUGGGGAAAUGAAUUGGAGUGCUCAGGUGUCCUCUUUUGAAGUGACUGAAGUUAUGUUUUCCACGAAGUUCCAUUACACAUAACAGAACUUGCACACCAUUCCCCUGAAAACUGAAGCACCUCGUGCGCCUAAAUACUUAGCUUUGGAGCAUACGCUGCCUAAAACACUCUCCUUUUAUCCUAAUUGCGAGGCUCUAGGGUGCUGGGAGACAGUGCCUCUGCAGGGACCUUGCUGCAGAAACAGUAAUGGAACUCCAGACCACAACACCACUUGUUCCAGGCUCUCUGCCACUUAGCUUUCGCUACACAAGAGCAGUGGCUCAGGAGUAGAACAUCUGCUUUGCAUGCAGACGGUCCCAGGUUCAAUCCUUGAGUAGGGCUGGGAGAAACUCCUGUCCGAAACCCUGGAGAGUUCUGCCAGUCACCAUAGACAAUACUGAGCUGGACUGGCCAAUGCUAUGAUUCUGUAUAAGGCAACUUCCUGCGUUCCUAUGCUGCCAGGAUACAAAGGACAAGGCAGUGCCUUCCCUUCCAUUCAAAACAGGGCUGGGCAGUAGCUGCUGCCACUUAGUGUCUACAGUACUGGGCUAGGUGUGCCACUGGCUUGAUUUGGUAUAAGGCAGCCUCCUAGAUUCCUUCUCAGAAGCACAGAACAUCCAUAGGGCCAGCCAAGACAUUAUUGGGUAUAGAGCAGAAUUCUGAAUUUCCCCCCUUUUGCACUAAUGAAUAUGAGGGGCAAUCUACCUGGAAGUUCUCAUGCAGCUCCUUUGGCAUAGGGCUGGAACUGAGCAAGAGCCUAGCAUGAGACACCAACCAGCUUAAGGUUCUCUUGCACAACCAUUAUUGAAAUGAACAAGGUGAUUCUAAAGCAGUCCUGGUGAGCAUGCUCCUGAGUAGCCCUCUUUAUGGGUUUGCUGGAAGCAUGGGCGUGGCAGGGGGGCAGCUGCCCCCCCAUUAAGUAUUGUGAUAGGAAUUUUAUGGUCUUAGAUAUAUGGUAAUGUUCAUAAGUGUACGAACCAAGCACGUACACAGAUCAGCACAGGAAGACCAACCUGGAACCAUUUUGAUUCCUAAACUGAGCCAAUGUUUUCUCUGCAAGGUCAAAGUGGGAAACCUCCCAUUGUAUCUUUCCUCACAAAUCCUGUCUUAAGGGCACAUUUAAGAUAUGAAUAGGGUGUGAGCCUGUGACAUGGCCCAGGAACUAAGUAUUUAUCACUACAAAAGAAUGGCCAGGCUCCCCAGGCAAUCCAAUCAAGUAACCUGCCAGACAGGAGAUAAACAACGACAGAAGAAAAACAACAUUCAAAUUUCUGUUUAGACCGCCUUUUCUGUGAUGUAUGUAUGAUGUUUCUGGGGGUGGUCUUGAUCUACAGGGUGGCAAUUUCAAAAGUAUUUAUAAUUCCUUGCACGCCAUUUUUCUGGGUUCCUCCUCCUCUCCUGCGGGUGAGGGGAGCACCCUGUUGCAACAGAUCAAUAAAGAUCAAGCUUCCUAGCUGCUUUGCUUCUCAAUAUUCUCUGGUUGGCCUCUGUUAUUCUCUCCUACCAAUAGGGAACCUAUGUAAGGACUCUAUAUGGGCUCUUGGAUACCCCAUAAGGGAAAAAGGCAAUUAUUGUUUACAACAGUAAAACAGUAGGAAUAUGUAACUAACUGACCAAUCACAUCAGUUCUGCCCCCCCCCCAAUCCUGGCUACACCCAUGGCUGGAGGGCAUCUGAUUUGCCACUAUGGGAAACAGGAGUAGUUGAGAGGCCCUGUUUCAGCAAGGCUCUUAUAUUACCACCUCAAAAUCUCCUAUGCCUCCCUUGGCCCUUUUAGGUCAGAGAAACACACAAGCUUGUUUAUGGUGCCUCUGUAAAGCCAGCCUCCUCUGGUGGUGUACUUGGAGGCAAUUUAAUGUUUCAUUGAUUUCCUUUCAUAAGCAGCUCGUAUUCUUCUGGGGGCAGGGACAGCAAUGAAACCUAGAGUCUUUAAGUUCCUGACCGGUUGCCCAAUGACAGAGUAACAUGUCAGAAUGGGAGCUGGUUGUUUUUGGUUCGUCUUGCUUUGUGGACAUAGAAAGCACAGGCCCGGUUGUUACAGGCUAGUCCUGGUUACUGUGUGGGGCUUUCAGAUCAGAGCUGGCACAUCACCUACCCCCCUUUCCCACCACUCGCUCUGAGUAUUCAGACUAUUCUGCUGGUAUUAAUUUGGCUUUAACCCUGGGCUCCCGCAGCCACAAGAGAGGCUAAAAAGGAAGCUACUGCAAAGAACUGGGCAUGUCAAUCUAGAUGGAGGAGUGGAAAUUGUGUGGAGAGAGUAUGGAAAAUGGCCAACUAUAGAUUAGCAGGAUUGCUCCUCUGUGGCAUUGCAUUUGGGUUUGUCUCUUGUCCUCUUCUGCGUUUUUCUGCAAUUCUCGCCCACUCCCUGAACUGGUGCAUAUCUGCACUUCUUCCUCUUGGGACUGCAAGCCCACACAUUAAUUUCCCUAAAACAACACAGAUUUUGUGCCAUUGCAGCGAGACAUAAUAUUGCUGUGGGUAUGCCAACAAAGGGGGCACAUUCCAACCAAAGCUAAGCCCUUGAAAGGGAGAAAGUUAAGCAUGUGCUUGUUAUCUAUUCAGUUUUAGUAUUCAUUUUCCCAACUCUGCAAUUUUAAAGGCAUGGCUCCUCCUGAAGCCACCAGGACCUAAAGCUCACCUAAUCCAUGUUUACAUUUAAGUCAAUCCCAUUGUAUUCAAGGUCUUACUCUAAGGAAAAGGAGUUUGUACACGAUUGCAGCCUCAAAACCGAUUAACUACAGAUCUUCCAAGACUGGAGUUUUUACGCAGGUGUAACUCUGCAACAUGCCAUUGUUAUAAUAGCACAUUAAGUGGUGGGUUUAUACUGGACAAUCCACACACCAUUCUGCUUGAUUAGCUGUUCUGCAAUGCUUACUCAGAGCUACUGCAUUAUUACUGUACUAUAUACUAUAGUACUCUUGUACUAUAGCACAACGGAAGAGGGCAAAAGUCACCGCAUUUGCUAAAUUGUACAGUGGUACCUCGGGUUAAGUACUUAAUUUGUUCUGAAGGUCCGUUCUUAAUCUGAAACUGUUCUUAACCUGAAGCACCACUUUAGCUAAUGGGGCCUCCUGCUGCCACCGCGCCGCCAGAGCCCGAUUUCUGUUCUUAUCCUGAAGCAAAGUUCUUAACCUGAAGCACUAUUUCUGGCUUAGUGGAGUGUGUAACCUGAAGCGUAUGUAACCUGAAGCGUAUGUAACCCGAGGUACCACUGUAAUGCUUAAUGGCUAAAACAAUAUAUAUUUAUAAAUCAACUGGAUUAGGAUAAAAGAAUCAACUGAAGUAGGUCCAGACCUUAAAAGAUUGCUUCUCUCAUUUGGUAGCAUCCCUUUCACAUGUGUCAGAGGACAAGGCUAGUCACUCUUGAGUCCUCCCUUAAAAAGCAGCUAGCACCAUCCCAUUUCCAUGACUCACAGCAUGCAUUCACUAUUUCCCCAAUGAAUCUUUCCUCUUGUGGGUUUCACUUCUGCAUUUUAUUUUUUGUCUUCAGAAUUUGUACAUGUCAAGAUAUUUUCCAAGAAGGGGCUGUUGCAGCAACUGGAGUGUAAGCGUAGGAGUAAAGCACACUAAGGAGGAAAACACUUCUGAUUGUUGGAAGUGCAGCAGCAGAGAUUGUUCAGUUUGUAACUUAAGGGUUAGUUCUGUUAGUGUUAAAGUCAACUAGCCAAGGUGAAGGUGUUGCUUAGCAACUAGGCAGAGUGGCAUGAUCUUCACUGAGGUAGUAUGUAUUCUGAUUGGCCAUGUAGUUCUAAGGGCAUUUUCCUCUGUACGUCUCCUGCUAUGUACAAGGCCUAAACUAAGCAAGACAAAGUACAGUCAUACCUUGGGUUACAGAUGCUUCAGGUUGCGCACCGCGCUGAACCUGGAAGUACCAGAACGGGUUACUUCCGGGUUUCGGCGCAUGCGCAGAAACGCCAAAUUGUGACCCGCGCGUGCGCCGAUGUGGCACUGCGGGUUGCGAUCGUGCCUCCUGCAUGGAUCAUGUUUGCAACCCGAGCGUCGCUGUAUCUCUCUUCCUUUCUCCUCAAAUUAUACACUAGUUUUGUCCAGUUUGCCCUGCAAAGUGUUAUCAGGACUUUUAUCACCAGACUCCAUUUUUGUUAUUUAAAUGGCUUUGCUAACACUGGUGACUCAAGCAGUGUUCCAGGACCCUGUCAUAAAACCAUAGGAGAGAGGCUUUGUCAAGCCCUAAACCGGGUGAGUGGGAGAUUGCCAGCUCUUGAUGGGGUUACACUCCCUCUGAAGGAGCAGGUUUGUAGCUUGGCGGUACUCCUGGAUCCUUUGCUGUUGCUCGAGACUCAGGUGGCCUCAGUGGCCCCAGAGUGCCUUCCAUCAGCUUCGGCUGGUGGCCCAGCUAUGCCCCUAUCUGGACAGGGAUAGCUUAACUACUGUUGCCAAUGCUGUGGUAACCUCAGGGUUAGAUUACUGCAAUGUUUUAUGUGUAGGGCUGCCUCUGAGGAUGGUUCGGAAACUUCAGCUGGUGCAGAAUUCAGCAGCCAGGUUGCUCAGUGGAGCAAAACGGUUUGAGCAUAUUAUACCGAUUCUGGUCCGACUGCACUGGCUACCAAUUCGUUUCUGGGCCCAAUUCAGAGUGCUGGUUUUGACCUAUAAAGCCUUAAAUGGCUCAGGACCUCAAGAACUGCCUCUUUCCAUAUGAACCUACCCAGAGCCUGAGAUCAUCUUCUGAGGCCCUCCUUCAUGUGCCUCCUCCUCGAGAGGCAACAGGAGAAGGGCUUUCUCUGCAAUGACUCCCUGUCUGUGGUAUGCUCUCCCCAGGGAAGUUCACCUGGUGCCUUCAUUAUACACCUUUAGGUGCCAGGCAAAAAUAUUCCUUUUAAACUAGGCCUUUGGUUGAUUUGAUUGACAUCCUAUGCCCUUUUAAAAUGUGGGGUUUUUUUGGGGGGGGGUUAUUGGGCUGUUUUUAUUCUGAUUAUGUAUUUUGUGGUUUUAUAUUUUGAUUUUAUUUUGUGAACCACCCUGAGACCUCUGGGUAUAGGAUGGUAUAUAAAUUGAAUAAUAAAUAAAUCUGUCAACCUACAGACUGGAUGUGGCUGCCAGAUUUCAUCUAGUCCAUGAGGGCCCCUCUUGACCAUCAGCUGAGAGGAGCUAGGGCUUCAGUGUUGUGCAAAGUGCUUAAUUGCACCUCCUUUCUCUGCAAGAAGGUCUGCUACAAGAACACGGGAAAAUGUCUCAGCAGUCAUGUUCCUUGCAAAUAUGCAGUAAGUGUCUCACACAUUUUGCAACUGCAUAAUGCAAUUUUCUGAAUGUACCGUAUUUUUCGCUCUAUAAAACGCACCAGACCAUAAGACGCACCUAGUUUUCGGAGGAGGAAAACAAGAAAAAAAAUAUUCUGAAUCUCAGAAGCCAGAACAGCAAGAGGGAUCGCUGCGCAGUGAAAGCAGCAAUCCCUCUUGCUGUUCUGGCUUCUGGGAUAGCUGCGCAGCCUGCAUUCGCUCCAUAAGACGCACACACAUUUCCCCUUACUUUUUAGGAGGGAAAAGGUGAGUCUUAUAGAGCAAAAAAUACGGUAAUUGCAUUUUGAAAUUGAGGCUUCAAAUAGCUGUAAGUCAAGGUUUGCAGUUCAGCUGGGUAUAUCUAGACAACCAAAGGCUACUGGCGAGUUUCAUUUCAUUUCAUUUUUAUUAACCAUGGGGGUGGGAAAGUUUAUGGAGAAAAUGGAAGUUGAAACUGGAGUGGAUCACUAAGAAUUACAUACAUGCCCUGGUAGCUUUCUGUGUGUCUGGCCUGACACCCUAGUGUAGUGGUGGGGCACCUCCAGCCUGUGUGCCUAACCUUCCCCAUUGGCCCUUGAGACCAUUCUGGCCAAGCCACACACCCUUUAGAUCAUGUAUGACAUCAGAUGUAAUGACCUGGGUCAUCUGAAAGGGCACCUGCAAAGCCCUCUGCUGCACUCCACCCUGGGCUGUCAGAGUCAGGCUUUAGAUACUUCCAAUGAUCAUUGGACCCUGCGGAGCACCAUACCUAGCACUUCACAAGAGCCUAGGAUCAGCUGAUAGUUGGCACAGUAUGCCUUUGCCCACAAAGCUUAAUUUGGAAAAUGGGUCACCUGAUGCCACUGCAAUGUCAGAUGAAUUGACAGGUGGGCAUCCUGCAUGGGUUGGGACUGGGAACUGGAUCUGGCCUGCAGGCCAGGUCAUCUACUUGAACGUGAACUUAAGAGCAGCCCUGCUGGAUCAGCCAAUAGAAGUUCUAGUGAAGCAUCCUGUUCUCACAGUGGCCAACCAGAUGAAUGUGGGAAACCUGAACACAACAGCAUUUCCCCCUCCUUUCGUUUCCAGCAACUGACAUCCAGAGCCAUGCUGCGUCCAACCAAGGAGGCAAAGCAGAGUAAUCAUAUUACAGGCUGGACAUAGCUGGAGAGGAGCUCACUCAACCUUUUUGGGCCCUUUAUCAACAGCUCAGUAGAGAAGUGGCUGUGGUUGCAAGAGAGCUCCCUCUUAUGCUUGCUUGCUGCAUUACUGAUCAAAUACUUACCAGUGGGAAAGAGGAAGAAUUUCCUGUCGCAAUAUCUCCAAAUGGCUUGUCUUGUUUUGUUCAACUGGGGUUGGAGGGAGAGAGGUGUUCCUUAAAGGAGAGCUGGAAAUUAAGCUCAUAUAAUAAGGGUGGAGAAACCAUAGGUCAGAUCAAGCCCUGGAAACCUUUUGAAAAGGCCAGUCCCAGUCUUCUCCUUUUCAGUACUGGGCUGGGAUAAGAGAUUCCUCUGCUCCAGCAAGGCUUCUUGCUCUUGUAUCUUGCUGGGUAAUUCUGUCUUUAAUAAUACUUUACACCAGUUUCCCUGGGAAAGGCAUUAAGUUAACUUGUAACUUCUAGGAUCCAACCUGGUCCUAGAAGUUACAAAUUCCAGUGUGCAGGCAUGGAAACUUAUCUGAAGGAGAAGCUACAUAUUUUGAUUACAUGAUCAGCAAUUUCAUAUUUCCGUGAAAUAGGAAAGUUUAGUCAAGAGUCUUUGGUUAGGUGCUUUUUCAAAUAGUGAUUGUCUCUUCCACUGCAGCGCUGGACUGAGAAGAGAGGCUUCCUCUUAAGCCCAGUGCUGUGUUAGAAAUGAGUGUGAUGUGGCGUGUGUGUGUGUGUGUGUGUGUGUGUGAGAGAGAGAGAGAGAGAGAGAGAGAGCAAGAGCAAGAAAGAAAGAAAGGAAGGAAGGAAGGAAGGAAGGAGACUUUGUGUGCCAUACCAGCAUGUAUGGUGUGUAUAUGUGGGCCUGAAAAUGUGAGCGAAGGACCCAGUCUAGGCCUUCAACCUUGGCCACCACAGAUGAUGUUGGGACUACAACUCCCAUCAUCCCUGAGCAACAGCAAGAUAGAAGUAGGCUGCUUUAGAUAGAAGUAGGCUGCUUUAGGCUUUUUGCCUCCAGCCAGAGGAAUAAGGGCUGCUUUUGCUUUUUAAAAAACAUAAUUUGUCUCUGUUCGAAGCAUUUGAUUAAAAGGCAGAGUAGAAAUUAUCAAAAGGAAGAUGUAAAAUGUAUUAUGUGUGUCAUAUGCACGGUCCAGGCUGCCACGCCACACCUGGGAGCUGGGCAGGAUCAAUCCCCCUUUUGUCUCGGCUUUGAGCACCUACCUCCCCUAAAGGCAGUAUGCAAAUGCAUUCAAUGAGUGGAAAGGGAUCCUUGAAUAUCUUGUUGAAUGGGCAGCUCCCUGCUUAGAAGACUCAACAGCGCCUGAUGCAUCCUUGCAGGCUGCGGCACACAUGGGGUUAACAGGUAAGGAGACCAAAAUAGCUCUUUUGCCAGCAAGGGCAUUAAGAGAGGGGAGGCUGCUGACGCAGGCAAGUAUCACACCGUACCAUGACUGCGGGAAGCAGGGAUGCGCUGCCUCCAGCCAGCUCCUGCUGCUACGCCAAACAAAACACCGCCAGCACGAGCCAGCCUGGAGGAGCAUGGAUGCUGCUGGGCUCAGGUUUGGCUUUGUUUACAGUGCACACAGUCCUGGAGCACCUGCGAUGGAAGAAUGGGAAAUGAAAGAAUGGAGUCAGCUCUUUCUCUCUCCCCUCCUCCUGCAUGCCAAAGAGCCGACAUGAACUGAGUCAGUGGCUCAGCUCUUCCUGGGAAGGGAAGCCAGAAUUGGGGGGUUCAACCCUCCAGCUGCAGCAAUGGAGGAUUUAUUUAUGGAGGAAUAUAAUAAGGAUCUCCGUUAUGGCAGCACAGCCAAAGGUCAGGGAGGAUGGAAGUUGUAGUCUAACAUCUGGAGGGCACCACAUUGGUUACUCCUUAUGUAGACAGAACUGAGCUACAUGGACAAAUGCUCUAACUCAGGAGAAGGCAGCUUCCUAUGACGCUCCAACUGUCACAUAGGGAUCACCUCCAACACCAGCCUGUUGAUUACACUGUUGCUGAAAUUAGCUGAAACCAGGGGUUAGGGAGACCUGAAACCCUCAGCCUAAUUUGAUGGCGGUGGGGAACCCAGUCGGAGAUGGGCGAAGUAGGAGGGAAGAACGUCCUCUAUAAGCAAUCAGUUCAGCUGUCUGGCAAAAAAGGGAUCUCCCUCCCUGGGCAGUGAGAAAGAGGGGGACAGAAAAGGCCCUUUCCACACAGAAGGACUCAGGAUUUAAUCUCCAGCAUCCCCAAUGAGGUUUGGGAAGAUGGGGAAUAAAUUUGAUUAGCAUUUAAAGGCAAACCUACCUGAUUUACACUUUCCAACCCAAUGCAUAAAACACAGCCAUCUUUCGAAAUUCACACCUCUCCAAAUUUUGUAGUGCAGUUCUCCAUAAUGCAUGCAAUUUUUAUUUAUUAAUUUAUUAAAUUUGUCUAUUGCCCCAAAUGCAUGCAUUACUGAAAAUAAACACACACUGAUGCAUGAUAGUACUCAAAAUUGCAUUCAAGAAUGUAUAUCGGGAGAAACUUGCAGUAAAAUGAUGAAUUUUCACAAAGACUUUUUUUUAAAAAAAUUGCAAACUCAUUGGGAAAUGUGGAGAACUGAAAUUUAAGACUGGAGAAAUGAGAAACCGAGCAAAACCUAAAUCAACAGAUUUGCCCACUUCCCUAGGUGGGAGAGACCCCCGUCUGAAACCUCAGAGAGCACUGCCAGUCAGUGUAGACAACACUGAGCAAAAUGGGUGCUCUACCCUUUAGCUAUGGCCCUUCUCCCAAUCUUUUGUAAGCCACCUUGGAGAUGGAUUUUUUUUCCCCAAAGGGGUAUUUAAAUUGCUCAAAUAAAUAAAUAACUAAGCAAAUGAUAAGUAUAGUAUUGUUCCUCCGCCUGGCUCUCAGGUAUGUGAAGAUAAAAAGGGGAUAAUGGCACCUGCAUCUUGCCUGGAGCUCCUUGGAUGAAACACACACACACACAAAUCAGUGAAAACAAAAUGUGUAAUAUCACUCAUCUGUCAGAGGGCUCAUUUUCCUCUCCUUCAACUCUAGUUUUUCAGGCCAUGAUGCCCUCCUAUUCAGUUUGCUUUUGUAUACAAACAAACAGUCUUUUGCAAAAUCUGGAAAGAAACUGAAAAGCAAAUGUUAUUUGUUCUCAAUAUGCUUAACAAAAGGAUUUGUUAUCACUGACAACAGGUGUCGUAGCCUGGCUUACCCCCCUAGAAGCAGCAAGAAAUAGAAGCUGUUACAUUUCUCAUGGGUUUCAUGGGCUGGCUGCCAGACAUACAGAGAGAGAGGGAGGGAGGUUGGGAAAUUUAAGAGAAGUGUAGUUUUUAAAUAGGGAGAGGGAGGAGGGGUGGAACAGGAAGCAGCCAGUCAGUUAAUACAGUGGUACCUCGGGUUGCAAACACCUCGGGUUACAGACACUUCGGGUUACAGACUCCGCUAACCUGGAAGUAGUAUCUUGGGUUAAGAUCUUUACCUCAGGAUGAGAACAGAAAUCACGUGCUGGUGGCACGGCAGCAGUGGGAGGCCCCAUUAACUAAAGUAGUACCUCAGGUUAAGAAGAGUUUCAGGUUAAGAACGGACCUCCGGAACGAAUUAAGUUCGUAACCAGAGGUACCACUGUAUACAGGGAAGUCUGUUUCGUAAGAAAUGAAAAGAUGUCAGCUUCAGCAUUUACAGAAAAUGGAACUUGAAAGUGAAAGGCCUGACUUGGCUGUUGGAAGUUUUCUUCAUUCUUCAGCUGCUGUUAGGAAUACAAGAACAUAACAGGGGCCUGUUGGAUUAGCCCCGUGGGCCCAGCUAGUCCAGCAUCCUGUUCUCACAGUGGUCAACCAGUUAGCUAAGGGAAGUCCACAAGCGGAACCUGAACACAACAGCACUAUCCCCGCCUGUGGUUUCCAGCAACUGGUUUUCAGCAUUGCUGCCUCCAACUAUGGAGGCACAGCAUAGCCCUCAUGGCUAGAAGCCAAAGAUAGCCUUACUCUUCAUGAAUCUUGUUAUUCAUUCAGCCCUUAUUGGCAUAAUUGGACAACAGAACGUAUAAAAGCCAUCCGUAAAAUAUUGCUAAUCCCUACAUAUUAAAACACAAAACAUAAAAAAGACUCAAUAGCCACCAUUAAGUAAAAUUAGUAAUUUUAAAGUUGACUUUAAAAAUCUCGGCUAAAUAUCCUGAAACAAUCUCAGUAGUUUCAGGAACAUCAUUCCUCAACAGAUACUGGAUUCCACUCUGCCUUCUGCCUCUGUCCUACAUCGGAGGACAUUAGACAAUCUAAGAUGACUUUUUGAAUCCCCCUUCCCGCCUUUUAACAAUCUUAUGCAUUUUAUAUUCUGUAACUUCAUUUUAUUUGAAGUUGGUGGAGCAUAAAUAGAUUAUACUUGGUUUGUUUUGUGGUUAUCACAGGUUGUGGUUUAUUUAGAAAUGAAGACAAAUACAGUAUUGGCCUGAACCUUUUAAAUAAUUAUUUACAACUUUUUAAAAAUAUGUGGAAACCCAUCUCAACCUCCUGAUGUCUCUAGAAUAGAAUUAUUACUUGUUUAGUGUUUGAAACUGAUGGAAGGAAGGAGCUGCAGACAGAUGAAUGACAUCACCAGCAAAGGAUAACUGGGAAGAACUCAUGGGAAAGUAUUACCCUUUAAAAAAAAAUCAUUUAACCACCUUGCACUUUCUUCCAAAAUCAGGAUAUAAAUACAAAAAUUUGUGUUCCACUCCAAAAGGCAAGCAUUUUGCAGCUCUAGCGAUGCAAUCAGUUAGUGCACAGCACUUAGGAUGCAGUGUUUGGUGGCACAGCAGUACUGAGUUUAUGAGUUCAAGCUUACCUGAAGCAAGUGAUGGGGAAGUGCUGUCACUCAGUAGUAGAGCAUCUGCGUUGUAUGCUAAAGGUCCCGGGUUCAAUCUCUGCCAUUUUCAGGCAGGGCUGGCGAAGGAUCCAUGUCUGAAACCUCAAAGACCUGCUGCUGGUCAGUGUAGACAAUACUCAGAUAAGUACCGUAUUUUUUGCAUCAUAACACUCACUUUUUUCCUCCUAGAAAGUAAGGGGAAAUGUCUGUGCGUGUUAUGGAGCGAAUGCCUGCGGGUGGCGGGGGGGAUCUGCUGCAGUCAUGAGCAGAGGAUCCAUGGUUCCCCUUCCUUCCCUCCUCCGUGGUUACAAAGCAUGGAUCCACAUGGAUCCUCAGGAUUUUGUAUUGGGCUACUCCAAACUCACUGUCAGAUCACAUGUCUGUGGCCACAGCAUGAACCACAAAAAUCAUAUAUCCACUAUUUCAUUUAGAAUAUUUUUUUUCUUGUUUUCCUCCUCUAAAAACUACGUGCGUGUUAUGGUCUGGUGCGUGUUAUAGAGCGAAAAAUACGGUAGAUCAAUGGUCUGACUCUGACUCUCUCUCUCUCUCUCUCUCUCUGUGUGUGUGUGUGUGUGUGUAAGACUGCUUUCUAUUUUGCAUGGCUGAAUACUCUUCUGUAACAAUCCAAGUCCCUCCAAAUACAGUGGUACAUCAGGUUACAGACGCUUCAGGUUACAGACUCCGCUAACCCAGAAAUAGUACCUCGGGUUAAGAACUUUGCUUCAGGAUGAGAACCGAAAUUGCGUGGCAGCAGUGGGAGGUCCCAUUAGCUAAAGUGGUACCUCAGGUUAAGAACAGUUUCAGGUUAAGAACGGACCUCCAGAACGAAUUAAAUUCUUAACCCGAGGUACCACUGUAGAUCUGUUUUUGGAAGAUGUCAUGGCCUUUGGCUAGUGCAGUAAAAGUUUAUGAUGAUGACUAGAUCAUGAGGACUAAAAAUUUAAUUCAUUUUUUUAAGGGCAAGAGUCACAGUGCAGUGGAAGAACCCUUGUUCAGUUCAAGGUACCGCUGUGUAAGACUGGGAGUGUCUCCUCUCUGAAACUCUGGAGAGUCGCUUGUCAGUCAGCACAGACAAUACUGAACUAAAUGGACCAAUGGGUCUGACUCAAUAUAAGGCUUCCUGUGUUCCUAUAUUACUAAAGCACCAUAAGGCUGAAGAUGAAAAAUCAUCAUGUGCAGGCAAAGCUACACUUGCCUUGCUGCACACCCUGCAGUUGUUUUCCCAUCAGCCACAGCAUUUCUUCUGUGAUCCUGGCCCAAGGGGGCUCAGAGAUGUGGAAAGCCAGCGUGAGAUGGCUCCAUUUUACUGACAAUUUGUAACCAGACAUACACUCUCCUUUGGAUGGAAAUAGCAGCAUAGCACUUGCUGCAAGGAUAAUCUACAGGCUUCUUCAAGCUGCUGGUCAGGAAAGGAGAUUCCAGGAUGCCUGGUGCUGCCUCCAUAGUGACUCAUACUGCAGCAGCAGUAUUGAAGCUUAGCACCACAGUUUUGAAAUGCCCAUCGGAGAAACUCAAGGAACAGUCCCUGGAGCUGUGCAUGGUGGGCACCAGCUUAUCCAGAGUGAAGGGCCGCUGCCUCCCCAAAGAAUUCCAGGAAUCGCUAGAAUAUUUCAUUGUAUGCAGCACCAACCUUGAUACUUCAGCAUUGCUCCAUGCACCUGGUGCAACUGCACCUCCAACUGCAAGGAAGUAGUGUGUGCUUGUGCAGAUCAGUCCCAAGAUCUGAUGUGCUGCUGCUUGUUCACUCCAGUGGUAUUACCAAAGAGGGAUUCAGACAGAUGUCUCCCCCUCUAAUUGAGGACAGCCUACACUUCGGCGGGGGGGGGGGGGGCUAGAAACAACAUUAAAUUGGUCUUUACAUUUAAAGUGUUUUAGAAAAUGCAUGUGGAAGCCGCUCGUGCUCCUGACGAAAACUGCUCCUCUGAAGCUGUUUGCAGGCCAGCGUAGGGUAGUAAACACUAGGGUGGGGGCAAGGGCAACCAGG
rnacentral:lncRNA from 1 species